rnacentral:lncRNA from 1 species
UCAAGCGUCCCUUGAAGCUCUUCAUUUGUCAGUUUUUACAAAUCUUUCAACUCUUAUAUGGCUACUACCAUGUGGUCUAACUUUGGAGCCAACGACCUCAAGAUCUUACCAACAACAGAUCUUGAUGUCAACACUUCUUCACAUACGUUGAUCUGAUUCGCCAGUUUCGUAAACUUGGUGAAGAAAUCAGUUAUACUUUCAUUGUCUUCCAUCUGAAGUAAUUGAUACGUCCUUUUGUGAGUUUGUAACCUCGCCUCUUUCAC